rnacentral:ribozyme from 11 species
AGACGCGAACGAACGAAUACAGGGAGGGAGAGGAAAAGGAAAGAAACCUUUCUUUCUUUUCUGCUUCCGUGUGUGAAGUUUUUCCGUUUCUCAUUUGAGUGCGGGGGGCGUUUUUCUUUUCUUUUUUCUUU